rnacentral:rRNA from 1 species
CCUACGGGUGGCAGCAGUGGGGAAUAUUGCACAAUGGGGGAAACCCUGAUGCAGCGACGCCGCGUGAGUGAAGAAGUAUCUCGGUACGUAAAGCUCUAUCUGCAGGGAAGAAAAAGACGGUACCUGACUAUGAAGCCCCGGCGAACUACGUGCCAGGAGCCGCGGGAAUACGUAGGGGGCAAGCGUUAUCCGGAUUUACUGGGUGUAAAGGGAGCGUAGACGGCAGCAAAAGUCUGGAGGGAAAUCCCGGGGCGUAACCCCCGAACUGCUGUGGAAACUGUGCGGCUGGAGGGCAGGAGGGGUAAGCGGAAUGCGCAGUGUAGCGGUGAAAUGCGUAGAUAUUAGGAGGAACACCGGUGGCGAAGGCGGCUUACUGGACUGUAACUGACGUUGAGGCUCGAAAGCGUGGGGAGCAAACAGGAUUAGAUACCCUGGUAGUC